rnacentral:lncRNA from 1 species
GCGUUUGUAGAUUUAGUCCUUUUCCAAACAGUUUGUGAAUUUGCCAUUUUUACUCCAAUUGAAAAGACAAAAUUACCCUGCCUUCAAGAUUCUGAUUUUUGAUUGAGAAAAUGGUUUAUCGUCGUCACAAACCCAUCUUCUUCAAUUGAAGUCCCAUUCGUCAAUUGCCAUCAGAGAAAUCUUCCUCCGUUGAAGCCCGGGUGAACGCCGUCCAAGCUCUCAAAGCCUCCUUGGCAGCCAAAAUAUAGACCCGAUGAUGCCUUGCUCAUCAACAAAUUGAAUCUCGAGAUCGGAUGUUACCCAUGGCCUCUUCGAUUAUUUUCGUGGCUAUAUUGGUUGUUCUAUUUGUUUCUUUUUGAGCUGAUCUGCCUCCAAAUCUACAAGGUCUGUUAAUUGUUGAUAUAAUGAAGAGAGAUGUUGCUUUAUCUUCAGCGCACACAAGAUGUUUGAUAAAAUGCCGCAGAGAAAACUAGAGAAUAACAUUCACUAACCCUAACUCAAUUGGUUAAUCUAUUGGUUCUAGCAAGUGUUUGACGCUUCCUUUGCUCGAGAAAGGAAAUCUGAGUUGCUUUAUCGCCAUUAGAGUUUAGUGUAUUAUAUAAAAUUUGCGUUAUACUCGUUUGCUUGGGUUCCCUUGUUCCCAUUUUCUUUAGGGUUUAGUUUUUUUUUUAUAUCAGUUAUGCUUUAUCUAAGUGUUAUGUGUUAUACCAGAUUCUUGCAUGUCGUAUCGAUAUUUGUAAUUAAUUCUUGUGGAUACAUGUACAUAUUAGUUUAGAUUUCAGUUGCAAGAUAUCUUACUCUGACUCAGUGUUUGCGUUGUGG